AUUAAGAUGUUCUGUAAAAGGUUUGGAUCCGACGCCUCUAGAAGGCUACUAUAGGCUCUCCUUCCCAACUCCUACUCAAUACGUCCACGUCGUGCAGAACGGUAACUUGUUGCUCAGAUCCAAGCUUGGGUACACGGGGAAACCCAACCCCUCGGGCGGAUGAGCGGCAAGGCAGAAUUGAGAGGU
rnacentral:ribozyme from 1 species